GAUGAACGCUGGCGGCGUGCCUAACACAUGCAAGUCGAACGGAGAUUCCGGACGGUUGUUUUCGGCUGGAGGACCGUACUUCUUAGUGGCGGACGGGUGAGCAACGCGUGGGCUACCUGUCCUAUACAGGGGCAUAGCAGCUGGAAACGGCUGGUAAGACCGCAUAAGUCGGCGAGACCGCAUGGUUUUGCCGGGAAAUGAGCAAUCAGGUAUAGGAUGGGCUCGCGUCCGUUUAGCCAGUCGGCAGGGUAAAAGCCUACCAAAGCAACGAUCGGUACCCGGACGGGGGGCUGGGACGGCCACGAUGGGACUAAGACACAGACCAAAAUGCGAGGGAAGGGAGGAGAGGGUGAUAUAGCAGAAUGGAGCAAGAUCUAAUGAAGCGGCGCCGGGUAAGUGAGGAAGUAUGUCGGUAUGUAAAGCUGUAUCAGCAGGGGAGAUGAUGACGGUACCUGACUAAGAAGCACCGGCUAACUACGUG
rnacentral:rRNA from 1 species